UACGUAGGGUGCGAGCGUUGUCCGGAAUUACUGGGCGUAAAGAGCUCGUAGGUGGUUUGUCGCGUUGUCCGUGAAAACUCACAGCUCAACUGUGGGCGUGCGGGCGAUACGGGGCAGACUUGAGUACUGCAGGGGAGACUGGAAUUCCAAGGUGUAGCGGUGAAAUGCGUAGAUAUCUGGAAGAACACCGGUGGCGAAGGCGGUCAACUGGCCCUCAACUGACGCUGAGGCACGAAAGCGUGGGGAUCAAACAGGG
rnacentral:rRNA from 1 species